rnacentral:misc_RNA from 1 species
CCAGAAGAAGAAUGUUAAUACCUGGAUAUACAAAUUACAGUUACAAUGUUCAGUCAAAGCUAGGACAUCCAUUUCUACAUUCACAAAUUGGCUAGCAUUUUUAUCCAUAAAACUCACAUAGCUAGGCUAUGCUAGUGCUAGUCUGUCUCCUUUCUUUUUCCCACUUUUCUUUUUCCAGAUAUUAGCCCACUCUUUACAAAGACUGAAAUCACAACCCUGAAGGAUGAUGGUACAAAUAAGUGAAUACAAGAUAAUAGACAUAAAGAAGCAAAGGUUAGUCUAGUCUGAUGAACGUGUACUCAACAAGGAACUCGCAGCUUCCAAUCACUUGAAUGGAACACAAAAGGCCUGGCCAACUAUCCGCUGCCUUAAGCAGCACCCAAGAACCCAAACAAAAAAAAACAACCCUCAUCUUUAUUUUAGCAGUAAAACUCACGUUCCCAAGUAUUGCAAAGUAGUUCCACAACUGGCAAGAUCCACAAGGCAUGGCAAUAAAUGAUAUCUUUUCUUCAUUUCAAUAUAGGGGCAUAAGGAGCUGGGCAUGGAGAGACAGUAUGAUCAGGUAACUGGUUUAUCAGAUCCAAUGUUGCCUGCAGACAUGCAUUUAGAAUUUUCUUUUCCAAUCUAACCAUCUGAGUAGCAACUCAUAUUUUAGGGCUCAAGUUAUGAUCUGCCAACUAAUGUAGCCAAACAAAAAGAAGAGUAAAUCUCUGUCAACAGUAGAUAAUGAUUCGACAAUCAAGAAAUCUCAUAUAGCCGAAAUUACCAUCAAUUCAUCUUCACUCAAGCUAGUGGGAUAACCAGCAGGCGUCCCUUGAAAUAAUCCACAAGCUGAUCCAACACAGAUCGUUCCAUACAAGGCUCACCUAUACCCAAUUAAAUUACAGAGUAAAAUCUCAGAAAGAUGAACGAAGCAAAGCAAUUUCCCACAAGGCACUGCAUUAUUUGAAGGUCUCCAGGGUUAUAGGCAUUAUAAAAUCAUUAAGUUACCUUAUCUUUACCACAUAAAUAUUGAACAAAACUUUUCUCUUCUAGAAAUGUUGACUCAGUAAGGUUAUCUCAUGAAACACUUCUAUAAUAUUGUAACCAUCAAAAGGGAAAUCCCUGGUGCACAAGGCUCCCCACUUUCUGAGGGUUGAGUCAUGGCAAUAUUAGUUUAAAAAUAAUUUGAGUGGAACUUCAAUCAACCAGAGUUUGUGAGUAAAUAAUAAACAUAAAUCUCAAUUUUUUAAUAAAAAUAAAUCAAGAAGCAAAUAAUAUCCAAAGUAAUCGUGUCAUAUAACUCAAUAAAGAUAAACUUACAGGACAAAUUGGACCUUGAGAAGAAAUAACAGUUUGCAUCAUAGAAGGAUCUGAUACAUAGCCCAAUCGCAAAUAAGGAAGCAUAUCUGAGAUAGACUCAUUAAAAGAUUCAAUAGGAAGGAACCAUAGGCAAACCUUCAGUGCCAGACAAGUAUUCAUACUUGAAUAACUUGUACUGAGAGUCUGCCAUUUCUUUGAGCAACCAUUCUCUUGUCUUGAUAUUGAGGAUCCUCAGUGUUGAGUGCUGCCUCUACCACAAUACGGUCAUAACGAUUAUCUUCAUCAACAAAACCAUAGUUUAUAAGCAGUUUUGAAUUAGGUUGUGGCCCACACCAGACAACAAUGGGUUCACCAGCCUUGUAUGGGCGAUCCACCACUAGUUCAACAGCACCAUCAACCGCACUUAACAUUGCCUUGCAGUUGCUCCUGUAAGCUAGCAAAGGGGGUCCAAGAGGAACCAAAGCAAAUCUCCGAGCCAAGCUGACUUUCUGCAAGUGCACCACACAAGACUGAAUUGCAACAAAAGCCUGUUUGAAAAUCUCAAAAGGAAAGGCUUCAGUAGGUAUAUCAUAUGGAUAUUGCUGAAACAGAGAGCCAGCCAUGAACCAUACAGUAUCAAGCUCAUCAUAUUCCCUUUUAAUUCCAUCUGCCCUUUCAAGAACUUCAGCCUUAGUGGGGCUCCCUGUCAGGUAUGCCAAUUCAUCUGCUGACCACAGAAGUGGAGAUUCCACAGCAAGCUGGCCUCUCCCCCGCUGACGAUCAAGCUCUCUUAUAUAUGGAUACCAAAAUGACUUCUUUCCUUGUUUCUUCUCAUACAUAAGAUAGAGUGCCAAACAUGCCAAUUCCGACAAUUUGUUUGUGGUUAAAAGUUCCGCAAUGGUCUCGUUUCCUAAUACUCUCUCAAGCGUCACAACAAGUAAAUUCGGAACCGAAAACGCCACAUCGCCAGCCUGAAGAUCCUCACUGGCGGCAAUGUAAUGAAUGGGCCUAUGCUUAGCAUCGUGAGAGGGUCUCUCUCGAAGAACCACUUUGCAAGGAGGCAAUCCAUUCUUGUGCAUCCAAGAUUUCAAAUCCCCAAACUCCUCCUUCUCUUUCUUGCUCGCAACAACUCCACUACUACUCUGCUUCUCAUCAUCUUUCCGCGAAUUAGCCACCAAAGUCUCGGAGCUCGAAGCGUAGCACACAUUCCUUUGGCGAACGGAUCGAAAGUGAACAGAGGAUUUAGAGAAGUUGCAGAGAGAGGUGGAAACCCUAGAGUAAACAGCGAGAGGGACAAUGAAUUUAUCGCGUACAGAAGCGAGGUCCACGGCAGGCAACAUCUGUGAAGAAAGAGAAGGGAUAAUAAUUGGGAAUUGGGAAAUCAGAGAAGGAUAGAGGAAUGGAGAUUUGUGGAAUGCUGGAGAUAUUUUUAGGCGUUGGCGGAAGUUGCGUAGGGUCGGAGGGGAUAAGAGAGGCAAAUAGCGUGAGAGCAAAAUGACAAC